CACAUACUCCCUCCGUUUCAUAUUAGUUGUCGUUUAAACGGAUGUAUUUAGCACUGAAAUAUAUCUAAAUACAUCUAUUUCAGAGACAAUUAGUAUGAAACGGAGGGAGUACGUG
rfam:Triticum aestivum genome assembly, contig: Triticum_aestivum_CS42_TGACv1_scaffold_571134_7AS